rnacentral:rRNA from 1 species
AGAGUUUGAUCCUGGCUCAGGAUGAACGCUGGCGGCGCGCCUAACACAUGCAAGUCGAACGGUUAAAGCACCUCCGGGUGUGAAUAAAGUGGCGAACGGCUGAGUAACACGUGGGCAACCUGCCCCUCGCUCCGGGACAGCCUCGGGAAACUGGGAGUAAUACCGGAUACUCCGCCACCCCCGCAUGGGGGAGGCGGGAAAGCUCCGACGGCGAGGGAUGGGCCCGCGGCCUGUUAGCUUGUUGGUGGGGUAACGGCCUACCAAGGCAAUGAUGGGUAGCUGGGUUGAGAGACCGACCAGCCAGAUUGGGACUGAGACACGGCCCAGACUCCUACGGGAGGCAGCAGUGGGGAAUCUUGCACAAUGGGCGAAAGCCUGAUGCAGCGACGCCGCGUGCGGGACGAAGGCCUUCGGGUUGUAAACCGCUUUCAGUGGGGACGAGGCCGAGAGGUGACGGUACCCACAGAAGAAGCCCCGGCUAACUACGUGCCAGCAGCCGCGGUAAUACGUAGGGGGCGAGCGUUAUCCGGAUUCAUUGGGCGUAAAGCGCGUGUAGGCGGUCCGUUAGGUCGGGAGUUAAAUCCGGGGGCUCAACCCCCGCCCGCUCCCGAUACCGGCGGACUUGAGUCUGGUAGGGGAAAGUGGAAUUCCAAGUGUAGCGGUGGAAUGCGCAGAUAUUUGGAAGAACACCGGUGGCGAAGGCGGCUUUCUGGGCCACGACUGACGCUGAGACGCGAAAGCUAGGGGAGCGAACAGGAUUAGAUACCCUGGUAGUCCUAGCCGUAAACGAUGGACACUAGGUGUGGGGGGACGAUCCCUCCGUGCCGCAGCCAACGCAUUAAGUGUCCCGCCUGGGGAGUACGGCCGCAAGGCUAAAACUCAAAGGAAUUGACGGGGGCCCG